rnacentral:rRNA from 1 species
GAUAACCUACCUAUAAGACUGGGAUAACUUCGGGAAACCGGAGCUAAUACCGGAUAAUAUUUUGAACCGCAUGGUUCAAAAGUGAAAGACGGUCUUGCUGUCACUUAUAGAUGGAUCCGCGCUGCAUUAGCUAGUUGGUAAGGUAACGGCUUACCAAGGCAACGAUGCAUAGCCGACCUGAGAGGGUGAUCGGCCACACUGGAACUGAGACACGGUCCAGACUCCUACGGGAGGCAGCAGUAGGGAAUCUUCCGCAAUGGGCGAAAGCCUGACGGAGCAACGCCGCGUGAGUGAUGAAGGUCUUCGGAUCGUAAAACUCUGUUAUUAGGGAAGAACAUAUGUGUAAGUAACUGUGCACAUCUUGACGGUACCUAAUCAGAAAGCCACGGCUAACUACGUGCCAGCAGCCGCGGUAAUACGUAGGUGGCAAGCGUUAUCCGGAAUUAUUGGGCGUAAAGCGCGCGUAGGCGGCCCUUUAAGUCUGAUGUGAAAGCCCACGGCUCAACCGUGGAGGGUCAUUGGAAACUGGGAAAACUUGAGUGCAGAAGAGGAAAGUGGAAUUCCAUGUGUAGCGGUGAAAUGCGCAGAGAUAUGGAGGAACACCAGUGGCGAAGGCGACUUUCUGGUCYGUAACUGACGCUGAUGUGCGAAAGCGUGGGGAUCCCCCAGGAUUAGAUACCCUGGUAGUCCACGCCGUAAACGAUGAGUGCUAAGUGUUAGGGGGUUUCCGCCCCUUAGUGCUGCAGCUAACGCAUUAAGCACUCCGCCUGGGGAGUACGACCGCAAGGUUGAAACUCAAAGGAAUUGACGGGGACCCGCACAAGCGGUGGAGCAUGUGGUUCCCUUCGAAGCAACGCGAAGAACCUUACCAAAUCUUGACAUCCUUUGACAACUCUAGAGAUAGAGCCUUCCCCUUCGGGGGACAAAGUGACAGGUGGUGCAUGGUUGUCGUCAGCUCGUGUCGUGAGAUGUUGGGUUAAGUCCCGCAACGAGCGCAACCCUUAAGCUUAGUUGCCAUCAUUAAGUUGGGCACUCUAAGUUGACUGCCGGUGACAAACCGGAGGAAGGUGGGGAUGACGUCAAAUCAUCAUGCCCCUUAUGAUUUGGGCUACACACGUGCUACAAUGGACAAUACAAAGGGCAGCGAAACCGCGAGGUCAAGCAAAUCCCAUAAAGUUGUUCUCAGUUCGGAUUGUAGUCUGCAACUCGACUACAUGAAGCUGGAAUCGCUAGUAAUCGUAGAUCAGCAUGCUACGGUGAAUACGUUCCCGGGUCUUGUACACACCGCCCGUCACACCACGAGAGUUUGUA